AGUGAACGCUGGCGGUAGGCCUAACACAUGCAAGUCGAACGGCAGCACAGUAAGAGCUUGCUCUUACGGGUGGCGAGUGGCGGACGGGUGAGGAAUACAUCGGAAUCUACUUUUUCGUGGGGGAUAACGUAGGGAAACUUACGCUAAUACCGCAUACGACCUACGGGUGAAAGCAGGAGAUCUUCGGACCUUGCGCGAUUGAAUGAGCCGAUGUCGGAUUAGCUAGUUGGCGGGGUAAAGGCCCACCAAGGCGACGAUCCGUAGCUGGUCUGAGAGGAUGAUCAGCCACACUGGAACUGAGACACGGUCCAGACUCCUAAGGGAGGCAGCAGUGGGGAAUAUUGGACAAUGGGCGCAAGCCUGAUCCAGCCAUACCGCGUGGGUGAAGAAGGCCUUCGGGUUGUAAAGCCCUUUUGUUGGGAAAGAAAAGCAGCAGGUUAAUACCCCGCUGUUCUGACGGUACCCAAAGAAUAAGCACCGGCUAACUUCGUG
rnacentral:rRNA from 1 species